rnacentral:rRNA from 1 species
UACAGAGGGUGCAAGCGUUAAUCGGAAUUACUGGGCGUAAAGCGUGCGUAGACGGUCAUGUAAGUCGGGUGUGAAAGCCCCGGGCUCAACCUGGGAAUUGCAUUCGAGACUGCAUGGCUAGGAUGCGGAAGAGGGAAGCGGAAUUUCCGGUGUAGCGGUGAAAUGCGUAGAUAUCGGGAGGAACACCAGUGGCGAAGGCGGCUUUCUGGUCUGCUCUUGACGCUGAGGCGCGAAAGCUAGGGUAGCAAACGGG